AAACGUAGUCCAACAACGAAAGAGCCCUGAAGCUCAAGCGGAGCCCGCUGGCCGCAGGGGCCGCACCACGCCCCAGACCCUGGAGUUUCCGGGUGCGCAGACCCUUGCCAUCAGCAGAGGCUGCCGCUGCGCGUCCCCUAGGCGCGGAAGAGGCGGCUGGUGGUCCCUGACGGCAAGGUUUUAUACAUUACGAAUAAAGCUGGCACGUUUCCAUUUCUCCUGGGCAAAUAUUUAGAAGAAAAGUUGCUGGGUAAUUGGUGGAGACAAGGUUUCGCCACAUUGACUGGGCUGGUCUGGAACUCCUGAGCUCAAGCAACCGGCCCUCCUUGACCUCCCAAAGUGCUAGGAUUACAGAGUCACCCAGGCUGGAAUGCAGUGGCAUUGUCAUGGCUCACCGCAGUCUCAAACUCCUGGGCCCAAGUGAUCCUCCCACUCAGCCUCCUGAGUAGCUGGGACUAGAGGCACAUGCAACCACAUGCAGCUAUUUUUUUUUAAAUUUUCUGUAGAGACAGGGUCUCACUGUGUUGCUCAGUUUGUCUCAAACUCCUGGGCUCAAGUGAUCCUCCUGCCUUGGCCUCACAAAGUACUAGGAUUACAGGCAUGAGUCACCACACUCAGCUGAACUCUACUCUUUAUGUUCAGGAAAGCACUGGAGAAGAGAGAGGACAAGAGAAACAGGUCCGUAGUGACAGGAGCCUAGGAAUAGAGCAGGCCUUCAGUCUUGGUGAAAAAAUAAAUGGUAUUCUAAGCCUUCCUUUGGACAUUAA
rnacentral:lncRNA from 1 species